ACGGAGGAAAAGAAACCAACUGGGAUUACCUUAGUAACGGCGAGUGAGCGGUAAAAGCUCAAAUUUGAAAUCUGGUACUUUCAGUGCCCGAGUUGUAAUUUGUAGAAUUUGUCUUUGAUUAGGUCCUUGUCUAUGUUCCUUGGAACAGGACGUCAUAGAGGGUGAGAAUCCCGUUUGGCGAGGAUACCUUUUCUCUGUAAGACUUUUUCGAAGAGUCGAGUUGUUUGGGAAUGCAGCUCAAAGUGGGUGGUAAAUUCCAUCUAAAGCUAAAUAUUGGCGAGAGACCGAUAGCGAACAAGUACAGUGAUGGAAAGAUGAAAAGAACUUUGAAAAGAGAGUGAAAAAGUACGUGAAAUUGUUGAAAGGGAAGGGCAUUUGAUCAGACAUGGUGUUUUUUGCAUGCACUCGCCUCUCGUGGGCUUGGGCCUCUCAAAAAUUUCACUGGGCCAACAUCAAUUCUGGCAGCAGGAUAAAUCAUUAAGAAUGUAGCUACUUCGGUAGUGUUAUAGCUUUUUGGAAUACUGUUAGCCGGGAUUGAGGACUGCGCUUCGGCAAGGAUGUUGGCAUAAUGGUUAAAUGCCGCCCGUCUUGAAACACGGACCUCACA
rnacentral:rRNA from 1 species